rnacentral:lncRNA from 12 species
GUGAGGAGUCUAUUCUCAAUGCAAUGGCCUCUGCCUAGCCUUUUGAAGGGAAAGAGACUUGCACUAAGGACUGUGCCUGUCUGGUUGAAAUGGAAGUCCCUUCAGCUUCAGAUUUCACAAAAGCUCUUCCACAGCUCCACUUUGCUGUGCCACCUAUGACUCUU